rnacentral:misc_RNA from 1 species
GACUUUUCUUACUUUUCUAUUGUUCUGCUUCCUGGAAAAUAACCAGAAGAAUCUAUUAUAUCCUAGGGGAAUUUUCGCAUUUAAUUUUCUGGUGGUUGGCAAAAUAAUUCCUUAAGGACAGUGUUUAUACACGUGUCUCAAGUUUACUAUUCUUUUAAUUUUAUUUUCUGCAGCUAUUAUUUUUUUAUUUCAACAGUCCUCACAUUUGGAUAUUGCUACUUUGCAGUUUCCCCUUAUUUCAUCCAUUUGGAAGCAGUUAAUUGGAUUCAUGAGAUUAAAGGAAAUACUUAUACAAACCUAAAUAAUUAUGCAAACCUUUCUGCAAUUUAUGUUGGAGAUGCAUCAGAGAUAAAGCAUUUUGCAGUUACUGACCAUCUGCGUCAUGGGAUACUUAAUUCCCUAGUCUACUUCUGGAACUUGUUGCUCUUGUAAUAAGGAUUGGACAGUGUUGGGAGUCAGAGUGGCUCUCAUUAGUAUGAAUUUUUAGCAGGCAAUAGUGGUUGCAUCAAGGAUUUUGAGAUUCUCUGAGAACAUUUUGCACGUUUUAUGAAGGUGGUGUGCUUUGAAGUUUCCUCUGGAUGUGCAGGAUCAACAGUUGUGAACCUUACCAGGCAAGGAAAGCACAUGAUUCUUAGACAUGAAGGCUUGCUGUUGGAUGGAGAUGGUGUUUUGUGGAAGUGUAUGGAUCAGCUAUGACUAUUGCUCCAAUUUAUAAUAUUCAUAAACGCAGCAGGUAUUUCUCUCUUCACGACAUGUUUUUUCGCGGUAAAAGAAGAAAGAAAAAAAAAAUCAUUUAUCUGUUUUGCUAUUACAGAUUAACCUUUACUUGAUUAUAGACUAUCUUCUGUUCUGCAUAUAAGAUUCGUGUUUGUGAAGAAUAUUGCUGUAUUGAUAAUGAAAUGUUUCUGAUAAAAAAAUUUGUUUCAUAUCUUUUGGGUGUCUCAAUUACUAGUAAUUUAAUGCUAAAACAGAAAUGCUUUUAUUUGAUUCGAAUUAUCUGCUAAUGAUCUUUCUAAUUCCUCUAUUUGCAGCCUUUUUCUUUGCAGACCUCUGUGUGUGCGCGUGCGCAUGUUUUACUUUUUAUUUCCUUUAGUUACCCUAAUACUCAGAGUCUCACCAAAUGACGUUUUGCUGUGUACCUUCAAUGGAAACCAAGAAACCAUGACAAUAAAAAGCAUUGUCUAAGCAAGGAAACAAUGGCUAUUCAAAGAAGAUGUUGCAAUGAUGCAUCAUAUAGUUUUAUUUCAACAGAUGAGAAUGAAUUUGCUUGUGCAUGGGAAAACUGUCACUAUGCGCCGAUUAUAAUAUAUUUUUGGAUAUGAGCUUAAGUUGUCUUUAAGUUUUUGCUUAGCUUGUCUUGGAUAUGCAUUCUUGGUAGUAAUUGAUGGACAGGACAGUUUGUGGAAAUGAAAUUAGUUAAUAAUUGUUACAUAUGUAUCAUUUGGGUGAAUUUAUCUAAAUUUCAUUGACGGCAGUAGGAUUUUUUGUUCAAGGAAAAAUAGAAGAUCAAGAUAAAUGUUAACUUUCAAUCUAGGUUUUCUUGUAUGCAGAAGAAUAAUUGAGUUGGUGGUUGAAAUGAAGACAUUUGAAACUUCUUUUCAUUCUGAGACGUGGUAUGAGAAUCUCCUAGUCUCUUUAUUUAUUUAUUUUGACAGCAAGAAUCUACUAGUCUCUCUGUUAACUAUAUUUCAGGUGAAAUUUUGCAAAGCAUGUGUAACUAUUUUUUCUUUCUUAAACAUUUCGUUCAGCAAUUUCAUAAGAAAAUUCCAUUAAGCACCUGAUUUUAGAGUUUUGACACACUCAGCUGCUGAAUCUAAACUGCAUCUUACUAAAAGACUGCAGAAAAAGGGAAGAAUCUCAGUGAGUGACCCCAUUGAAUGAAAAUGAUGAUGAUUAAAACAAGUUCAUCAUUUCAAAAGGGCAUGCUGUGGGGUUUACGGUUUGUGGCAGGACUUUGGGAGCUUGUAGCAUUCCUUCCUUCAAGAAGAUCCAGAGGCAUGUUGUAUUUGCUGUUUUUUAUGAAAAGAAAGACUUGCUAAGUCCUCAAGCAUGAAGGGCUGUAGCACACAGUUAAUAGCUUCAACAUUGAUAGGCUGCACAGGUAUUGCUUCAAACAGAAUGUCUCAUCAUUCUGAGAUUCACGGUAUGUAACUGUUCGCACUGUAGAUGCUACUUUGCAAUGUGUCCUCAUACAUCAUGAAUUCCCUUGAGCUUGUUUCAGUAUCAUCAUACAUCUGUUUCAAUAUCAUCAUACAUCAGUGUCUAAUGAAUAAAUCAGCAUGUAAGUUUAUCUGUCAGUUUUCACAGUACUAGAAAAGAUUGGAGCUAUGACAUACAUUAAAUUAAACUUGUGUCAGUUUCUUUGUUAUCUUUCCAAGACUUAGCAUCCCAAAUUAUUAGCCUUGUUUGACCACCAUCAAAUUCAAUAUCAUUAUCUAGUCUUGCUGUCUUUUUAUCCCAUGGCUUUCACAUCGAUUCUCUUCUAAUCAAGGAUUCUUUGAAUCUCUGAUCACUUGCAUUAUGAAGAAGUACUAGAUCAUUAAUGUAAUCUCAUGUGAUGUUUAUAUAUAUUUAGGUUUUGUUUGUUUUGUAGAAAAUAAUUUGUAUAUAAAAAUUAUUUUAGUAAAAAAUGUUUUUCAUGAAAAUAUUUUACAUUUUUGUGUUGCAAUGUUAAAUUAAUGGUAUAUGUUUAUUUGAUGUAUAUAUAAGUAUUUACACAUUUUAACAAGAUUAUCAAGGUCUAGAAAAAGAAAAAUGAUUUCCUCUUUUGAGAAAAGAAAGUCUUUUUCCUUAAAAAUAAUUUAGUUUUCCUUUUGAUUGGGAAAAAUAUUUUCUAUUGACUAAUUUUUCUGAAUGCUCAAAACGCUAGAAAACUUGGAAAAUGUUUUCUAGGAAAAUAAUUUUUGUAAAACAAACGGAGCUUU